CGCUCGCAGCCGCCCGCACUCAUGUCGUCAGCGUCCCCUUUCUCACCUACAGCUUCCUAGUCUCUGUCUCCAAUCCCUGCCCACAGUAUGCCCACCUGGGGCCCAUGUUGAAGCUCGCCUAGUCUCAGUCUACUCUUUCCCAUUCCGCCUAUCAUAUUGUCCAGGCCGUCGACAGCCCUCCUCUGCUUGCUGAGCUCCUGAUGAACCACCUGGGAAAAGGCAGGGCAGAAGUGGGAGCUGUCUGUGGUGCUGGAGUGGAUCAGCUCAGAAAUCUUCCUAGGAAAGGAGGGCCCAGGAAGGAUUUACAAGGCAGAUCACACUUGUGCCUCUGUAGUGUUUUCGGUUUCUUCAACAGGACCACCAUGCCUGACAGUGUGAAAACUUCUCCAGCAGCCCACACCAGCUUGAAUUUUGCUGCUCCACGGAAUUAUUUUGAGGAAGGAGAAAGACAACGUCUGGGACAUCUAGACAUCUCGACCAGCAUCUGGGUGAGUCCCCCGACAUGUAUCCGAGGCUCCUUCAACAUGUCCAUCUGAGGAACAUUUGUUUCCAUCUGGGAAACAUUGAGUGCCUGUCUGAUUAGUUUUCAUGUUGGAAAUCCCACCUGUGAGGUCUAAGGACUCAGGUCAUGGGCUUGGCAGGAACUGGAAACACCCACUCUGAGUUUUAUGCUUUCUAGUGUCCUUCCCCUCAUUAAGGUUUCCAUCAGCUAAUGAGGUCUGGUUUGUAUUUGGCUCAUGGGCGUCUGAUCAAAAAUGGGAAAUGCUCCUUUGAUUUCCUCUGAUAACCUCGUAGGACACAUUUUGGAUGACUGGUUAACCUACACGUUUAAACCUAUCAAUAAGGACAAAAUAGUUUAACACUAUGUAGUCACAAUAUUCUUUAGACUUUGGAGAAAAUGGUUGAGAUGAAACUCUUUUGAAAUUUCAGAACUGGUUCUUUUUACAUGUGCAGUUGGAGAGAGUGUCUUGAUAACACACUUGAGUUUUCUAGAACACUCACCCUGAGAGAACAAAGAUAUUCUUAGGAGAAGUUGAUGUUAAGCCUCACCAUGUCCCUAAGUAUUAAUACAAACACAGCCCACAUUGCCUGCGUUUCAGCCUUGGCUUAUUUAGAAGAACUGAAACCGAGCCAGGAGACGGGUGGAAGGAGGAAAGAAAAAGAAGCCUUUGACCUCAAGUGUGAACAUUUGACGGUUCUCUCUGUUUUUCAUCAACUGACAAGUUUAAUUGCAGUGCCUGAUUCAUGAAAUGUAAAAUGAUGAAACAGAUCUCUGCUCGUGUGUGUGUCUCCGUGUGUGUCUUUGUCUUUAGAAAAUAUUCCUGAGGUUAACUUCUAAAUGAGCUCUAUUCCAUUGACUCAAAGUACAAUAAGCGCUUACAAAUGGAGUAUUUCUGAGUCACAAAAUAUGGGAAAUGUUCAGUAUUAAUUCUCUGUCUGGUACUGACAUCAGUUUAGCUUGUUAACUGUGUCUGAUUACUGGAGACACGAGACACCAACAUUCUUUCACUGUACUUAGUUCUACUGCUAGUCACUAGGUCAUACCUGGGGCAAAAGUUGUCAGCAAGAAAGUUCACUCACACUGAUAAUCUCAUAAAUAACUGAACUAAAUGGUAUAGAAGCUUUUAGGUAAGCUCUUUAAAAGAAUUAUUCUUUGUUUUUUGGACGCGCAGGAAUUUAAACCAUUAGUUUUGUUAAAUUCAAUGAUGAGAAUUCAUUGAAAAUGUAAAUCAAUUUUAGAUAAAACAGUGAAACACUGAGUUCUGAACAAGUCUAUGUUUACUUAUCUUUUCCUUUUAUGAAAAAACACUAAAUAUUUUUGAAUUUAUUAAGUACAUAUCUCGUAUGACAAAAGAAAAAUUGUGCCCUAAGAUAUGCAUGUCUUAUACGUUUUAAAAUAUACUGUUGAUAAAAAAAUUAAAUUGCCUAUUUCUUGAUUUUCAGUUUUAAGGGAUUUUGCUAAUGUGAUAUGAUUUAACAUCUACUAAAAAUAAAUGGGAAUUUCAGCCUCA
ensembl:lncRNA